CCGGAGGGAGGAGUUAUUAACAUGAUCCGGGAAUGAACUCCAUUGGAGCUUCAUAAAGGGACAAUGUCCCAGCUUUGAAACCUUCUCUGUCUUUGGUCAAACUGGGAGAAAAGGGAAUUGGGGAAAUGACCAAUUGAUGUUUACUUCUGGGAAUCACUAGGACAAGCGGCGCAUGCGCAUUGAUGCCCCUUCCCAACUCUUGACUGUUCCUGAGUAGAGGAGCGUAUGCGUGAGGCCCUCCCCCAGCGCUGCCAUUGAGGAGCAUUUACUCAGUGAGCGCAAGAGGUUUGUUUGAAACAGACCGCAAUGGAGAGAUCAGCGCCCAGGGAAGCGAGGGAACAGCAGGCUCCUUCCAGCAGCACAUCGGGAUGGGAGCCUGGGACACAGAGGGGGCUCCGAGACCGGGAUUGAUUCGGGACAAAUAGUUGAUGGACCAAUCCAAGGGUGGCCAGCUGCUUCUCACACCCAGCAGAAAAACACUGAAGGGACUAAGACACUGUAAUACUUCCUCAGUUCAAAGCAAAGAGUGACCAGCUGCCUCUAACAAACGGAAGGCAAGUACUCAAAAGGACCAAGACAAUGUAAUAUUCCCUUGGUACAGAGCCAAGUGUGACCAGCUGCUUCGAACAAACAGCAGAUGCUUCCGACCUGCUGAGUUUCUGAAGCAAUUUUUUAGUGUUCAUAUCAAGACUUCAGCUGGACUUCAGUGAAGAAUGUGCACAGAUAAAAGAUGAAGAAUAAAUUACCUGGCUCUGUGAGGUUGAUGGAAUUCCUGGUCACAUUAAAUAUCGUUCCAACCCCUGUUGAUCGCGACGCACUGCUGUCUGCCUUGGUGGUGGGACUGGAAGGACUCAAUGGCAGCUCUCUCCUGUCUGAGCUAAAGUUGUAAUUCCCGCUGGCAUUGUUUAAGGCUUAUCUUUGAAAGUAUGGUCUUGUACGUCGACACAAAACACACACUCUGGAACAAGACGAUUCCCAAGUGGAUCCUCCAUUUUAUUGACUCUGUGGGUGAGGAAAACCCCAGCAACAGGAACUGUAACAAAACAACAAAGAGGAAAUAAAAGACUGGAUGUUUAAAUUGUCAUUUUUUUCACAGAUGUUAACUUCUAUGACAGGAUAAUAACUGACAGAAAGGAGAAAUAAAACAACUGAGAUUUCA